UUACGGCCACAUCACGUUGAAACACCGAUUCCCGUACGAUCACUGAAGUUAAGCAACGUCGAGUCUAGUCAGUACUUAGAUAGGUCACCGUUUUAAAAUAUCAGGUGCUGUAC